CCUGGAUGAUGCUGCCAGUAGCAUAUGCGUGUCUCAAAGAUUAAGCCAUGCACGUUUAAGUACACACGACCGGUACAGUGAAACUGCAAAUGGCUCAUUAAAUCAGUUAUGGUUCCUUUGAUCGCUCCAUCUGUUACUUGGAUAACUGUGGUAAUUCUAGAGCUAAUACAUGCCGAUGAGCGUGGACCUCCCGGGAUGCGUGCAUUUAUCAGACCAAGACAGUCUGGGCUCGCCCGGCCGUUUUGGUGAUUCUAGAUAACCUUGGGCCGAUCGUACAUACCUGUGACGGCGACUAUGUAUUCGGAUGUCUGCUCUAUCAACUUUCAAUGGUACUUUCUGUGCCUACCAUGGUGACCACGGGUAAUGGGGAAUCAGGGUUUGAUUCCGGAGAGGGAGCCUGAGAAACGGCUACAUCAAGGAAGGCAGCAGGUGCCCAAAUUACCCACUCCCGACUCUAGGAGGUAGUGACGAAAAAUAACAAUACAGGACUUUUGAGGCACUGUAAUUGGAAUGAAUACACUUUAAAUCCUUUAACGAGUACCCAUUGGAGGGCAAGUCUGGUGCCAGCAGCCGUGGUAGUUCCAGCUCCAAUAGCAUAUAUUAUAGUUGCUGCAGUUAAAAGGCUCGUAGUUGGAUCUUAGGAUCAAGCUGGCGGCCCGCAGAGAGGCGACCUAUCGCCUGUCCCAGCCCCUGCCUCUUGGCGCCCCCUUGAUGCUCUUGACUAAGAGUCCUGUGGGUCUGAAGCAUUUACUUUGAAAGUAGAGUGUUCAAAGCAGGCCGGUUGCCUGAAUACUUCAGCUAGGAAUAAUGGAACAGGACUCCGGUUCUAUUUAGCUUUUUGGAAACUGGUGCCAUGAUUAAGAGGGACGGCCGGGGGCAUUCGUAUUGUGCUGCUAGAGGUAAAAUUCUUGCACUGGCGCAAGACGAACCAAAGUGAAAGCGUUAGCAAUAAUGUUUUCAUUAAUCAAGGACUAACAUCUGAGGUACGAAGAUUAUCUGAUACCCUCGUAGUUUCAACAAUAAACUAUGCUGAUUAGCGAUCUGGCAGCGUUAUUCCCAUGACCCGCCAAGCCACUUCCGGGAAACCAAAGUCUUUGGGUUCCGUGGGAGGAAUAUGGUUGCAAAGUUGAAACUAGGAAUUGACACAAGGGCACCACCGGGAGUGGAACCUGGGGCUUAAUUUGACUCAACACGGGAAACCUCACCUGGCCCGGACACGGAAAAGAUUGACAGCUCUUUCUCGAUUCUGUGGGUGGUGGUGCAUGGCCGUUCUUAGUUGGUGGAUCUAUUUGUCUGGUUAAUUCCGAUAACAAACAAGACUCCUCCAUGCUAACUAAUUAUUUCCCAUGAACCAGGAAUUCCCAUUAAGUGCGGGUCAUAAGCUUGCGUUCAUUAAGUCCCUACCCUUUGCACACACCGCCCAUCGCUACUACUGAGUGGAUGGUUUAGUGAGGUCCUCGGAUCGGCCCCACCGGCAACGCCUGGCGGAGUGGCGAGAAGAUGAUCAAACUUGACUAGAGGAAGUAAAAGUCAUACGGGCUGGGUGAACCUGCUGGGGACACCCCC
rnacentral:rRNA from 1 species